AACAACUCUUGGAUUUCUAAGAAGUGUAAUGAGGAUAAUUUACAACCCUUACCGAAAGCAAUUGGAGGGCAAGUCUGGUGCCAGCAGCCGCGGUAAUUCCAGCUCCAAUAGCGUAUAUUAAAGUUGUUGCAGUUAAAAAGCUCGUAGUUGAAGUUCUGAUUGUUCGGGCCUCGCGCUUUUAUAGCCGAGGAACCGACAGUCAUCCGCUUGCAAAUAUAUGUUCGCCUUUAACCGGGUGGCUAUAUGAGUAAGCAAUUUUACCUUGAGAAAAACAGAGUGUUCCAGGCAGGUUUGUCCGGAAUGCAUUAGCAUGGAAUAAUAGAAUAUGACUGAAGUCGAUUUAUUGGUUUAAGGCUUUAGUAAUGAUUAAUAGGAACAGUCGGGGGCAUUGGUACUUGACAGUCAGAGGUGAAAUUCUAGGAUUUGUCAAAGACUAACAAAUGCGAAAGCAUUUGCCAAAGGAUGUUUUCAUUAAUCAAGAACGAAAGUUAGG
rnacentral:rRNA from 1 species